rnacentral:rRNA from 1 species
GCAUAUCAAUAAGCGGAGGAAAAGAAACUAACAAGGAUUCCCCUAGUAGCGGCGAGCGAAGCGGGAAGAGCUCAAAUUUAUAAUCUGGCACCUUCGGUGUCCGAGUUGUAAUCUCUAGAAAUGUUUUCCGCGUUGGACCGCACACAAGUCUGUUGGAAUACAGCGGCAUAGUGGUGAGACCCCCGUAUAUGGUGCGGACGCCCAGCGCUUUGUGAUACAUUUUCGAAGAGUCGAGUUGUUUGGGAAUGCAGCUCAAAUUGGGUGGUAAAUUCCAUCUAAAGCUAAAUAUUGGCGAGAGACCGAUAGCGAACAAGUACCGUGAGGGAAAGAUGAAAAGCACUUUGGAAAGAGAGUUAACAGUACGUGAAAUUGUUGGAAGGGAAACGCUUGAAGUCAGACUUGCUUGCCGAGCAAUCGGUUUGCAGGCCAGCAUCAGUUUUCCGGGAUGGAUAAUGGUAGAGAGAAGGUAGCAGUUUCGGCUGUGUUAUAGCUCUCUGCUGGAUACAUCUUGGGGGACUGAGGAACGCAGUGUGCCUUUGGCGGGGGUUUCGACCUCUUCACACUUAGGAUGCUGGUGGAAUGGCUUUAAACGACCCGUCUUGAAACACGGACCAAGGAGUCUAACAUGCUUGCGAGUAUUUGGGUGUCAAACCCGGAUGCGUAAUGAAAGUGAAUGGAGGUGGGAACCGCAAGGUGCACCAUCGACCGAUCUGGAUUUUUAAUGAUGGAUUUGAGUAAGAGCACGUAUGUUGGGACCCGAAAGAUGGUGAACUAUGCCUGAAUAGGGCGAAGCCAGAGGAAACUCUGGUGGAGGCUCGUAGCGGUUCUGACGUGCAAAUCGAUCGUCAAAUUUGGGUAUAGGGGCGAAAGACUAAUCGAACCAUCUAGUAGCUGGUUCCUGCCGAG